rnacentral:misc_RNA from 1 species
GGUAGUAGUAGCAGUACCCCUGCUACCACCAACAUCAUCACCUUAUUACCACCACCACUGCUGCAACUGCCACCACCUCACCAUUGAUGCUACUACCAGUACCAUAACCCUACCAAUGAUGCUGCCAAAACCAUCAUCACCACCACCAAUUCAAACAUUAAUUGAGUAAAAAAAUGGGUUAGCGUUGAUUUGAUAAAAAGUAAAAGUCACAUGUUUACCAAACAUGCUUUUUAUUAGAGUUUUGCUAGGUGUAGUGACUCACUAUGAUGAACAAUAUCAUAGCGAGUUACAGAAUUUUCAUAUGUUUCUUUCUCUUUUUUUAUUUAGGUUAUUUACUUUUUGUAUUUGUUAUUCAUUCUGUAUUUGUUAUUCACUUUUUGUAUUUU